ensembl:lincRNA
UUAGAUUUCUACUUGGAAACUUUCACAAUUUACUUGGAUAACUAGAGUUGUGGAGGAUAACUGUAGCUUUAGAGCACAACAUUCUCAGAUGGCCUCAUUUUACUUUUCAUGGUUCAUUUGCUGUCUCAUCAGGAUUAAGUACAGGGAGGGAGAAAACGGACAGAUUGGAGAAACCUCUAUUUAGUGAUAAGUUGUCUACACUGAAAUAUGGACCUCGCAGAUUGACAGGGGGUCAGGAGACAGCAGACAAAACUGUGGGACCUGUGCCUCUAAAAAAGAAUGCUAUCACAAAUCCUUCCUGUUUGAGGAUCAGCAAUGCAAAGCCAGCAAGCCGCGCUCCGGGGGUGUCGGCCUGGAAGGACGCCCAGCGUCUGGUGAUGCAGAUCCUCGGACCCCCUCGACAGCACCCUGAAACACAGCGAGAAAACAGCGCCCCUCCCUGGACAAGAGACGCACAGUUCCCAUGUGGAAAAACGCAAGGGGUGAAGUUUCCAGGAGAACAAAAACGUAGCCCAUUUGAUGUCAUUUCCAAUGGAAAACUUUCGUCUCCCCCAAAUAGUCAAACGUUCGGUAGAGAAGGCCACACCCCUUCAGAAAAUCUCAACUCAAAGACCCUCUUGGAAAAGUGCCCCUCCCCUUCCGGCAGGACCUCUUCUAUCUCCAAGGAGAGACCAGCACCUCUAAAGAGUGUUCCCAAAUCAUCAAGCGCCUCCUCUUUACACACACGUCAUGGCAUCUCCAACAGCUCCUCCUCUCCCCAAGGAAGCACUUUUUCUGCUGGUCCCACCUCCCUCAGUAAUGACCCCCUCACCCCACUGACAACCCUGAGGAGCCCUGACUCUGCGUCACCCACCUCUGCCCUUUGUAGGAACCUAUCUGGUGGAAAGGAAAAUGUGGGCGUACGGCGCCCCGCGGUAUCCGGGAGCCGCAGGGCAGAGGAAGUGCAGGCCUUCAUGGGGCAGCAGGAGAGAGCGCGGAGGAGGAAGGCACAGCAGGAGAAACAGGAAGCUCUGAGAGAAAAGGAGAGGAGGAAGAAUAUGAUGCAGGAGGUACUGAGGAAGCAGCAGGAAGCCUUGCACAAGGCUCAAAGAAGCCACCACGAUCGUGGAGUAAAGGAGAGAAACAGGCCCACAAGCUCCUGCAAGAAAGAAGAGCCUGCUUCUUUGGGUCCAGGUGAGAGAGAGCAGAACAUGAAGAAAUCCGGAGAGCCACAGCAGAAAAGAAGACCUGCAGUGAAAAAGCUGAAGAUAAGGGGUCAGCCUAUGGAGGGAGGCAGCCCCCUGAAACUGGUAGACCUGGCCUCCUCCCCGAGGAAGGCACAGGCCAGGCGAGUGGAGGCCCUCAGACAGGCGGCGGCAGCCCUGGGCAGCCGGGUGGAGAUGCAGGCUGCGCUCCUCGGCGCAGGGAGCGGCCUGACAGGACGCCCAGUGGCAGAGCCCACUGGGCCCCUGAACAACAGGAGUCUCGCCUUGGCACUGGGAGGGACGUCGGCACAACCAAGAGACCGGGAUUCCACCUCCAUCAGCGAGGACCUGCCCUGGAGCGAAGAGGCCCCAGAGUGUAUAGCGGCACAGCCAGGUUUCCUUCAACAGACUGCUACUGUCAGAGGGGCAGAAAGUCGAGGGGAGAAAUCCACCGAAAAUGCAGGACCAGCAACACUCAGCAUCUGGAAGCCAUCAAGGACCCGAAAAGGAAGUCGCAGAUGGGAAGAGGUUAUUGACAAAAACCAAGCAGGAGCUCAUGCCAGGAGGGAAAAGGAUCAGAAGACCUCAGGUCCCCUGGGCAACAGUGCCAAGACCUCACAGGAAUGGGGGCAGGAUGGUGCACGUUCUUCUCAAGUGAUGGGUAACACCAGCCCUGAGUCCAGCAGCAGUGAGGCCCACACUGACUCCACUAGUAAGUGGAGUGAGGUGAGCCAGUUCUUUGGCUGUGGGGACAUGCUGAAUCGCCUGUCUCUGGAGCUAUCCCAGCAGUCCCUGCGCGAUGCGGAGCUCCGGGACCGUCAACAUGUUGCCCUCUUCAGGUUACGGGAGGAGGCGCUGAAAGAGAAGACACAAGCCGAGCUGGCCUGGCUGGAGCAUCAGAAAAUGUGAGUCUGGCUUCUGAAGUAUUGAUCUUGUUUAAAGGACAGGACUGGGGCUAACAUUGUAGAUUUUAUCU